AGCGAGAUAGAAACAGAGAAUCAGAAAAACACAGCGCACACAAUUAAAAUAAGGUGCCUAAUGUUUGGAUGUUUGGCCCCCAAUUAGUCGGACGUGUGCGUGCUACAUUAACGUAAUAAAAAUUGCAACCUUUACGCGUUGGGCCACACAGCAGCACACAAGUGUCGCGUAAUUUUUUUUUGCUGUGAUUCGCGGAGAGCGAAAGGAAAAAAGCGAAGAGUGUAAAAAAAAAUUAAGCGAUAAGAAAUAAGAGAGAAAAUAGCCGCUAAAAAGAAUAGCAAUACCUUGGCCGAAGAAAGCACAACGAAAGAACAAGAAUCAAGGAGAGAGAGAGAGAGAGAAGCCAACAACAAAACCCAUCAAAUUUGGUAAACCCCUAUUCAAAAAAUUCCCAAUCCAUGAUCAGCGGAGAGCAGCAAUUUACCUCCAAGCCAGUACUAUGGUAAUAUCACUCGGUACGAUGGGCCUCGUGCCCCUGCCACAUCGAAAAAUCGCCAUGCAUCCAAGAUUGUAAAUAAAAAUAUUUAUUAAAUUCCCCCCUCAAGAAAAUGCACAAGAAACUUGAGAUAAGAGCCUGAUAAAAACAAAAAAAAAAAUUAAAAGAAAUAAAAGAAGUAAAAGAGAGGGGGAAGGAAGGAUAGAAGGAGGAGGAGCACCCCACCCCCACCCACCGCCAUACAAAUGAGGGUGCAACAGGUUGACCACCUAACAACAACAACAACAAAGAGAUAAAAUAAUAAUAAAAAAAAAACGAAAAUAAAAAAAGCAACAAACUAACCGCA
rnacentral:sRNA from 1 species